rnacentral:rRNA from 1 species
AUUGAACGCUGGCGGCAGGCCUAACACAUGCAAGUCGAGCGAGCGGCGGACGGGUGAGUAAUGUCUGGGAAACUGCCUGAUGGAGGGGGAUAACUACUGGAAACGGUAGCUAAUACCGCAUACCAUCAGAUGUGCCCAGAUGGGAUUAGCGAGUAGGUGGGGUAACGGCUCACCGAGGCGACGAUCCCUAGCUGGUCUGAGAAGAUGACAAGCCACACUGGAACUGAGACACGGUCCAGACUCCUACGGGAGGCAGCAGUGGGGAAUAUUGCACAAUGGGGGCAAUCCUGAUGCAGCCAUGCCGCGUGUGUGAAGAAGGCCGUCGGGUUGUAAAGCACUUUCAGCGGGGAGGCGUGACCCGCUGAAGAAGCACCGGCUAACUCCGUGACAGCAGCCGCGGUAAUUC